CAACCCUUGUCCUUAGUUACCAGCACGUUAUGUGGGCGACUCUAAGGAGGACUGCCGGUGACAAACCGGAGGAAGGUGGGGAUGACGUCAAGUCAUCAUGGCCCUUACGGCCUGGGCUACACACGUGCUACAAUGGUCGGUACAAAGGGUUGCCAAGCCGCGAGGUGGAGCUAAUCCCAUAAAACCGAUCGUAGUCCGGAUCGCAGUCUGCAACUCGACUGCGUGAAGUCGGAAUCGCUAGUAAUCGUGAAUCAGAAUGUCACGGUGAAUACGUUCCCGGGCCUU
rnacentral:rRNA from 1 species